GUGACGGCGCUCCCAGGAGAAGAUAUUCCAUGUGUGGAGUUGUUACGCUAUCUCUAGGAAUGACAGGAGGCUUGGGCUGCGCGCCUGUAACUCCAGCAUUCUGGGAGGCUGAGGAAAGAGCAUGGUGACCCUGGCCCCUACCUUGGAUGGGCAGCGAUGCAAGAGCGGUCGGAGGAGCUGUGGCACCAGGUCCUGGCAGCCCCAGUGCUGACCGGAUGACUGCCUACCUGCCCAGGUCCUGGUGUUUCGAGUCCAGCCCUGGAUCUACUCCCCGACCUUCCCCGCGGAAGGUUUCGCCGCAAAGAUUUCUCCUUCAGCCGUUGUCACUGGGGUGUCAUCCACGACGACAGCCACCGACGCGGCCACUCAGGGACCACAUCCCGGAAGGCCGGGCCCUCAUCCACCGGCUCACCCCAUCCUGUCUCGGUUCCACCCUGGCACCAGGGCCUGAGUCGGGGCGCAGCGUGGGGAGAACCCCAAGGCCUGGGGACCCGAGUGGGCCCGGCUCGGAAGCCAUCCCGAGAGCUGGGGUUCAGCGCCGGCCAAGACUGAGGGUGCGAGCCGGGCCAGGGGACCGGAGGACAGGAGGACCGGCGACAUCCCCAUCCAGCGGAGCUCGGGGCUCCGGGCCUCCGCCACCUCUGGACACCACCACCAGCCGCUCCUCAGGCGCAGGUUCUGGGUUCUGCUCGCUGCCUCAGCGUCC
rnacentral:lncRNA from 1 species